rnacentral:rRNA from 1 species
UGGGGAAUAUUGCACAAUGGGCGCAAGCCUGAUGCAGCGACGCCGCGUGAGGGAUGACGGCCUUCGGGUUGUAAACCUCUUUCAGCAGGGAAGAAGCGCAAGUGACGGUACCUGCAGAAGAAGCGCCGGCUAACUACGUGCCAGCAGCCGCGGUAAUACGUAGGGCGCAAGCGUUGUCCGGAAUUAUUGGGCGUAAAGAGCUCGUAGGCGGUUUGUCGCGUCUGCUGUGAAAACGCGAGGCUCAACCUCGCGCCUGCCGUGGGUACGGGCAGACUAGAGUGCGGUAGGGGAGACUGGAAUUCCUGGUGUAGCGGUGGAAUGCGCAGAUAUCAGGAGGAACACCGGUGGCGAAGGCGGGUCUCUGGGCCGUAACUGACGCUGAGGAGCGAAAGCAUGGGGAGCGAACA